UACAGAGACUGCAAGCGUUAUUCGGAUUCACUGGGCGUAAAGCGUGCGCAGGCGGUUUUGUAAGCCAGAUGUGAAAUCCCCCGGGCUCAACCUGGGAACUGCAUUUGUGACUGCACAGCUGGAGUGCGGCAGAGGGGGAUGGAAUUCCGCGUGUAGCAGUGAAAUGCGUAGAUAUGCGGAGGAACACCGAUGGCGAAGGCAAUCCCCUGGGCCGGUACUGACGCUGAGGAGCGAAAGCGUGGGGAGCGAACAGG
rnacentral:rRNA from 1 species